rnacentral:rRNA from 1 species
AGAGUUUGAUCCUGGCUCAGGACGAACGCUGGCGGCGUGCCUAAUACAUGCAAGUCGAGCGGACAGAAGGGAGCUUGCUCCCGGACGUUAGCGGCGGACGGGUGAGUAACACGUAGGUAACCUGCCCCUUAGACUGGGAUAACUCCGGGAAACCGGAGCUAAUACGGGAUAAUAAAGAGAAUCACCUGAUUUUCUUUUGAAAGACGGUUUCGGCUGUCACUAAGGGAUGGGCCUGCGGCGCAUUAGCUAGUUGGUAAGGUAACGGCUUACCAAGGCGACGAUGCGUAGCCGACCUGAGAGGGUGAUCGGCCACACUGGGACUGAGACACGGCCCAGACUCCUACGGGAGGCAGCAGUAGGGAAUCUUCCGCAAUGGACGAAAGUCUGACGGAGCAACGCCGCGUGAGUGAGGAAGGCCUUCGGGUCGUAAAGCUCUGUUGUGAGGGAAGAACAAGUACCGGGGUAACUACCGGUACCUUGACGGUACCUAACCAGAAAGCCACGGCUAACUACGUGCCAGCAGCCGCGGUA